CCGUUGCCGGCGACCGCGCACGGGUGAGUAACACGUAUGCAACCUGCCCGUGGCAGGGGGAUAAGCGGGGGAAACCCCGUCUAAUACCGCGUAACGCGGCCUAGGGACAUCCCAAGGCCGCCAAAGGGAGCAAUCCCGGCCACGGAUGGGCAUGCGGCGCAUUAGCUAGUCGGCGGGGUAACGGCCCACCGAGGCGACGAUGCGUAGGGGUUCUGAGAGGAAGGCCCCCCACACUGGUACUGAGACACGGACCAGACUCCUACGGGAGGCAGCAG
rnacentral:rRNA from 1 species